rnacentral:ncRNA from 2 species
CAUAAUCUCAAGGGGUGCCCUACCGAACGGGCUGAGAUCAUACCCAUUUAACCUGAUCCGGGUAAUGCCGGCGUAGGGAGAGAAAGCCGGAACCG